GCAAUCAUACCAGCAUUAAUGUACCGUAUUCCAUUAAAUUUCAAAAAUUAAGCUUACUUAGGCGAGAAUAGUACUAGGAUGGGUGACCCUGGGAAGUUCUCGUGUAACACAUC
rnacentral:rRNA from 1 species